ensembl:rRNA 5S_rRNA 5S ribosomal RNA
AUACCACCCUGAAUGCACCCAGUCUCAUCUGAUCUCAGAAACUAGCAGGGUCAGACCUGGUUAGUAUUUAGAUGGCAAGAUUCAUGUU